UACGUAGGCAGCAAGCGUUGUUCGGAGUUACUGGGCGUAAAGGGUGCGUAGGCGGUUGUUUAAGUUUGGUGUGAAAUCUCCCGGCUCAACUGGGAGGGUGCGCCGAAUACUGAAUGACUCGAGUGCGGGAGAGGAGAGUGGAAUUCCUGGUAUAGCGGUGAAAUGCGUAGAUAUCAGGAGGAACACCGGUGGUGUAGACGGCUCUCUGGACCGUAACUGACGCUGAGGCACGAAAGCGUGGGUAGCAAACAGG
rnacentral:rRNA from 1 species